AUUGAACGCUGUCGGCAGGCUUAACACAUGCACGUCGAGCGAGCUUCGGACGGGUGAGUAAUGUCUGGGAAACUGCCUGAUGGAGGGGGAUACCUCCUGGGAACGGUAGCUAAUACCGCAUACCAUCAGAUGUGCCCAGAUGGGCGUAGCUAGUAGGUGGGGUAAUGGCUCACCUAGGAGACAAUCCCUAGCUGGUCUGAGAGGAUGAACAGCCACACUGGGACUGAGACACGUUCCAGACUCCUACGGGAGGCAGCAGUGGGGAAUAUGGAACAAUGGGCGCAAGCCUUAUGCAGCCAUGCCGCGUGUGUGAAGAAGGCCUUCGGGUUGUAAAGCACUGUCAGCGGGGAGGCGUUACUCGCAGAAGAAGCACCGGCUAACUCCGGGCCAGCAGCCGCGGUAAUUC
rnacentral:rRNA from 1 species